rnacentral:rRNA from 1 species
UACGGAGGGUGCGAGCGUUGUCCGGAAUCACUGGGCGUAAAGGGCGCGUAGGUGGCGCGAUUAGUCAACGGUGAAAGCCCGGGGCUCAACCCCGGGUCGGCCGUCGAUACUCUCGUGCUUGAGCACUGUAGAGGCAGGUGGAAUUCCGGGUGUAGCGGUGGAAUGCGUAGAGAUCCGGAAGAACACCGGUGGCGAAGGCGGCCUGCUGGGCAGUAGCUGACACUGAGGCGCGACAGCGUGGGGAGCAAACAGG